AAACGGCGGCCGUAACUAUAACGGUCCUAAGGUAGCGAAAUUCCUUGUCGGGUAAGUUCCGACCCGAACGAAAGGCGUAACGAUUUGGGCACUGUCUCAACAACAGACUCGGUGAAAUUGUAAUUCCGGUGAAGAUGCCGGAUACCUGCGACAGGACGGAAAGACCCCAUGGAGCUUUACUGUAGCUUGACAUUGGGUCUUGGUACUACAUGUACAGGAUAG
rnacentral:rRNA from 1 species